UUGGAAGUAAGGAUCCUUUUCCCAAAUGAUCGACCACGAUUAUAAUCUGUGCAAAGUGAAAUCCUUAUUUUAGGAUUCAAAGCGUGGAAUUAUCCCUUUCAG